rnacentral:lncRNA from 1 species
CCCAGAGGGAACCAUGGAAACCCCAGCGCAGCUUCUCUUCCUCCUGCUACUCUGGCUCCCAGAUACCACCGGAGAAAUUGUGUUGACGCAGUCUCCAGGCACCCUGUCUUUGUCUCCAGGGGAAAGAGCCACCCUCUCCUGCAGGGCCAGUCAGAGUGUUAGCAGCAGCUACUUAGCCUGGUACCAGCAGAAACCUGGCCAGGCUCCCAGGCUCCUCAUCUAUGGUGCAUCCAGCAGGGCCACUGGCAUCCCAGACAGGUUCAGUGGCAGUGGGUCUGGGACAGACUUCACUCUCACCAUCAGCAGACUGGAGCCUGAAGAUUUUGCAGUGUAUUACUGUCAGCAGUAUGAACUUUGUUACUUAAACACCAUCCUGUUUGCUUCUUUCCUCAGGAACUGUGGCUGCACCAUCUGUCUUCAUCUUCCCGCCAUCUGAUGAGCAGUUGAAAUCUGGAACUGCCUCUGUUGUGUGCCUGCUGAAUAACUUCUAUCCCAGAGAGGCCAAAGUACAGUGGAAGGUGGAUAACGCCCUCCAAUCGGGUAACUCCCAGGAGAGUGUCACAGAGCAGGACAGCAAGGACAGCACCUACAGCCUCAGCAGCACCCUGACGCUGAGCAAAGCAGACUACGAGAAACACAAAGUCUACGCCUGCGAAGUCACCCAUCAGGGCCUGAGCUCGCCCGUCACAAAGAGCUUCAACAGGGGAGAGUGUUAGAGGGAGAAGUGCCCCCACCUGCUCCUCAGUUCCAGCCUGACCCCCUCCCAUCCUUUGGCCUCUGACCCUUUUUCCACAGGGGACCUACCCCUAUUGCGGUCCUCCAGCUCAUCUUUCACCUCACCCCCCUCCUCCUCCUUGGCUUUAAUUAUGCUAAUGUUGGAGGAGAAUGAAUAAAUAAAGUGAAUCUUU